rnacentral:rRNA from 1 species
UUGGCGGCGUGCUUAACACAUGCAAGUCGAACGAAGCACUUUAUUUGAUUUCCUUCGGGACUGAUUAUUUUGUGACUGAGUGGCGGACGGGUGAGUAACGCGUGGGUAACCUGCCUUGUACAGGGGGAUAACAGUUGGAAACGGCUGCUAAUACCGCAUAAGCGCACGGCAUCGCAUGAUGCAGUGUGAAAAACUCCGGUGGUAUAAGAUGGACCCGCGUUGGAUUAGCUAGUUGGUGAGGUAACGGCCCACCAAGGCGACGAUCCAUAGCCGACCUGAGAGGGUGACCGGCCACAUUGGGACUGAGACACGGCCCAAACUCCUACGGGAGGCAGCAGUGGGGAAUAUUGCACAAUGGGCGAAAGCCUGAUGCAGCGACGCCGCGUGAGCGAAGAAGUAUUUCGGUAUGUAAAGCUCUAUCAGCAGGGAAGAUAAUGACGGUACCUGACUAAGAAGCACCGGCUAAAUACGUGCCAGCAGCCGCGGUAAUACGUAUGGUGCAAGCGUUAUCCGGAUUUACUGGGUGUAAAGGGAGCGCAGGCGGUGCGGCAAGUCUGAUGUGAAAGCCCGGGGCUCAACCCCGGUACUGCAUUGGAAACUGUCGUACUAGAGUGUCGGAGGGGUAAGCGGAAUUCCUAGUGUAGCGGUGAAAUGCGUAGAUAUUAGGAGGAACACCAGUGGCGAAGGCGGCUUACUGGACGAUAACUGACGCUGAGGCUCGAAAGCGUGGGGAGCAAACAAAAUUAGAUACCCUGGUAGUCCACGCCGUAAACGA